CCUACGGGAGGCAGCAGUGGGGAAUAUUGCACAAUGGGGGAAACCCUGAUGCAGCGACGCCGCGUGAGUGAAGAAGUAUCUCGGUACGUAAAGCUCUAUCUGCAGGGAAGAUAAUGACGGUACCUGAGCAAGAAGCCUCGGCCUACUACGUUCCAGCAGCCGCGGUAACACGGAGGGGGCACGCGUUAUCCGGAUUUACUGGGUGUAAAGGGGGCGUAGACGGAAGCACAAGUCUGGAGUGAAAGCCCGGGGCUUAACCUCGGAACUGACUUUGAAACUGUCCGGCUGGAGUGCAGGAGAGGAAAGCGGAAUUCCUGGUGUAGCGGUGAAAUGCGUAGAUAUUAGGAGGAACACCGGUGGCGAAGGCGGCUUACUGGACUGUAACUGACGUUGAGGCUCGAAAGCGUGGGGAGCAAACAGGAUUAGAUACCCGGGUAGUC
rnacentral:rRNA from 1 species